rnacentral:lncRNA from 1 species
GUAGAUGGGUAUUACAUCUAUGGUAUUUCUCUUUACUGUUUGAACAUAUAUUAAACAUGGCACCGCGUAUGUUUUGAAUGAACGCAUAAUAUACUCAAGUUUAAGGAACUAAUAUAAAAAUAAUUACAAUAUACAAAAUAUUUUAAAUUCAGAAUUAAAUAACUCAUUGUGACAAACCUAAUUGUGCGCUACGGAAAAAGGUAGUUUAGAUCUCUCAUAUACUCGACAGUAUUGUGCAAUUAUGUUCCGCAUGACUGAUUGUGGGCUACAGAAAUAGAUAGUUUAGAUUUCUCAUAUACUCGACAGUAUUGUGCUAUUGUGUUCCACAAGGCUGAUUGUGGGCUACGGAAAUAGACAGUUUAGAUCUCUCAUAUACUCGACAGUAUUGUGCAAUUGUGUUCCACAUGAAUGAUUGUGGGCUACGGAAAUAGACAAUUUAGAUCUCUCAUAUACUCGACAGUAUUGUGCAAUUGUGUUCCACAUGAAUGAUUGUGGGCUACGGAAAUAUACAGUUUAGAUCUCUCACAUACUCGACAGUAUUGUGCAAUUGUGUUCCACAAGACUGAUUGUGGGCUACGGAAAUAUACAGUUUAGAUCUCUCAUAUACCCGACAGUAUUGUGCAAUUGUAUUCCACAUGACUGAUUGUAAGCUACGGAAAUAAAUAGUUGAGAUCUUCUCAUAUACUCAACAGUCUAUUGUGCUAUUGUAUUCCAAAAGGCUGAUUGAAUGGUACGGAAAUACACAGUUGAGGACGAUCGUUUCGUAUACUUGUAAUAUCAUUACAGUUUGUGUCGUUUUUGAACGAUAGGUGUUGCUUAGAGAUCAAUUAAGACACACUAAUAUUACUUUAAUGUAUGUGAAAAGAAAUAAGUGAUUUCAGUACAAAUACUUUGUUUUUAGUGAAUUUUCAAAAUAAACAUUUUUAGAGGUUUACAGAAUAACGAAUAAGAAAUGUUAAAUAAUCGCUUUAACCAUUGCAAGGGCCGUAAAUGGACAAAAUAAAACUUAAAUGAUUUAAAUAAUUUACACACAGUCAGUAGUUUCAAAUUUUAUAUACAUGUGCAAUUGUACAGAGUUUACA